rnacentral:lncRNA from 1 species
UGACCAGCAUUUCCAAAACAUAAAAGGUGCAUCCCAAUCUAGUGGGAUGUACUAUACAUCCUCUAUAUGCAUUCCGCUCUAUUCAACCUUAGGACUUACAGAUAUCAUCUAUAAACUGAUGGAAGGAAAAAGUAAAAUGAAAUCCCAGCUUUCCCUGAAACAUGUGGCCAACAUUUCCAAAACAUAAAAGUUGCAUCCCAAUCUAGUGGGGAUGUACUAUAAGCAUUCCACUCUAUUCAAUCAUUGGACUUACAUAUAUCAUCUAUUAAAAAACGGUAAGUAAGCACAUAAAAUGAAAACCCAAACCCAGCACAUUGGUCACCAAAAAGAAUGAAAACCCAACUUCCCCUGAAAUAUGUGCCCAGCCUUUCCAAAACAUAAAAGUUGCAUCCAUGCUAAUAUUAAUCAACCCACUACACCUAAAUCCAAACUAGUUUGAGUUUAGCUAUCUUAAUCCUAUGUAUCCAUCCACUCAAAUCAAGCAACAUUCUCAUCACUAUUAAAAGAUAGAAUUAGGUGUCCUAUAAAACUAAGGUGGCAUUUACUUUAGAGUUUGCGAACUCAGUUUCUGAAAUUUUGAUGGAAUCUCAACUCCAAACCACUCCCUUAAAGCUAGAUGUUUACUUAUGCUGUUCAGUUGGGUUAAUUUAACCCCUGAAUUUAGCACUUAACAACUUCUUGACGUUUUUCAGCUAUCUAGUACUAGUUUGAAGAUUGUAAAAGGCC